UCCCAAGCAGCCCGGGNUAAUACGUAGGUGGGCAAGCGUUGUCCGGAUUUUAUUGGGCGUNAAAGGGAANGCAAGGCGGUUUUUUUUAAGUUNUGAUGUGAAAAGCCUUNGGNUUUAACCNGAAAGUCGUUGCAUUUGGAAACNUGGGAGACUUGAGUGCAGAAGAGGAGAGUGGAACUCCAUGUGUAGCGGUGAAAUGCGUAGAUAUAUGGAAGAACACCAGUGGCGAAAGCGGCUCUCUGGUCUGUAACUGACGCUGAGGUUCGAAAGCGUGGGUAGCAAACAGGAUUAGAUACCCUGGUAGUCCACGCUGUAAACGAUGAAUGCUAAGUGUUGGAGGGUUUCCGCCCUUCAGUGCUGCAGCUAACGCAUUAAGCAUUCCGCCUGGGGAGUACGACCGCAAGGUUGAAACUCAAAGGAAUUGACGGGGGCCCGCACAAGCGGUGGAGCAUGUGGUUUAAUUCGAAGCAACGCGAAGAACCUUACCAGGUCUUGACAUCUUUUGCUAACCUGAGAGAUCAGGCGUUCCCUUCGGGGACAAAAUGACAGGUGGUGCAUGGUUGUCGUCAGCUCGUGUCGUGAGAUGUUGGGUUAAGUCCCGCAACGAGCGCAACCCUUAUUACUAGUUGCCAGCAUUUAGUUGGGCACUCUAGUGAGACUGCCGGUGACAAACCGGAGGAAGGUGGGGAUGACGUCAAAUCAUCAUGCCCCUUAUGACCUGGGCUACACACGUGCUACAAUGGACGGUACAACGAGUCGCAAGACCGCGAGGUUUAGCUAAUCUCUUAAAACCGUUCUCAGUUCGGAUUGUAGGCUGCAACUCGCCUACAUGAAGUCGGAAUCGCUAGUAAUCGCGGAU
rnacentral:rRNA from 2 species